rnacentral:rRNA from 1 species
GUUGUCCGGAUUAUUGGGCGUAAAGAGCUCGUAGGCGGCUGGUCGCGUCUGUCGUGAAAUCCUCUGGCUUAACUGGGGGCUUGCGGUGGGUACGGGCCGGCUUGAGUGCGGUAGGGGAGACUGGAACUCCUGGUGUAGCGGUGGAAUGCGCAGAUAUCAGGAAGAACACCGGUGGCGAAGGCGGGUCUCUGGGCCGUUACUGACGCUGAGGAGCGAAAGCGUGGGGAGCGAACAGGAUUAGAUACCCUGGUAGUCCACGCCGUAAACGUUGGGCACUAGGUGUGGGGGGCCUUUUCCGGGUCUUCCGCGCCGUAGCUAACGCAUUAAGUGCCCCGCCUGGGGAGUACGGCCGCAAGGCUAAAACUCAAAGGAAUUGACGGGGGCCCGCACAAGCGGCGGAGCAUGCGGAUUAAUUCGAUGCAACGCGAAGAACCUUACCAAGGCUUGACAUGUGCCGGUCGGCUCCGGAGACGGGGCUUCCUCCUUGUGGGGCCGGUUCACAGGUGGUGCAUGGUUGUCGUCAGCUCGUGUCGUGA